AUUGAACGCUGGCGGCAGGCCUAACACAUGCAAGUCGAACGAUUGGCGGACGGGUGAGUAAUGUCUGGGAAACUGCCCGAUGGAGGGGGAUAACUACUGGAAACGGUAGCUAAUACCGCAUACCAUCGGAUGUGCCCAGAUGGGAUUAGCUAGUAGGUGGGGGAACGGCUCACCUAGGCGACGAUCCCUAGCUGGUCUGAGAGGAUGACCAGCCACACUGGAACUGAGACACGGAGCAGACUCUCAGGGGAGGCAGCAGUGGGGAAUAUUGCACAAGGGGCGCAAGCCUGAUGCAGCCAUGCCGAGUGUAUGAAGAAGGCCUUCGGGUUGUAAAGUACUUUCAGCGAGGAGGCGUUACUCGCAGAAGAAGCACCGGCUAACUCCGGGCCAGCAGCCGCGGUAAUAC
rnacentral:rRNA from 1 species